GGGGGGGGGGGGGGGGGGGCUGAGGGGGGGGGGGCGGGCGGGCAGGCGCGGAGCUUGGGCCUGUGGCGUUAGCGGCGGACGGGUGAGGGACACGUGGAUAACCUACCUAUAAGGCUGGGAUAACUUCGGGAAACCGGGGCUAAUACCGGAUAAUAUAUUGUACCGCACUGUUCAUUAGUGAAAGACUGUUUUGCUGUCACUUAUAGGUGUAUCCGCUCCGCGUUAGCUAGUUGGUAAGGUACAGGCUUACAAAGGCAACGGUGCGUCACCGACCUGUGAGGGUGAGCGGACGGACGGGAACUGAGACAAGGGACAGACUCCUACGGGAGGCAGCAGUAGGGAAUCUUCAGCAAUGGGCGAAAGCCUGAAGGAGAAACGCCGGGUGAGUGAUGAAGGUCUUCGGAUCGUAAAACUCUGUUAUUAGGGAAGAACAAAUGUGUAAGUAACUAUGCACGGCUUGACGGUACCUAAUCAGAAAGACACGGCUAACUACGUG
rnacentral:rRNA from 1 species